UACGUAGGUGGCGAGCGCUAUCCGGAUUUAUUGGGCGUAAAGCGUGCGCAGGCGGUUUAUUAAGUCUAAGAUUAAAGCCCGGAGCUUAACUCCGGUUCGUCUUAGAAACUGGUAGACUUGAGUAUGGUAGAGGCAAAUGGAAUUCCUAGUGUAGCGGUGGAAUGCGUAGAUAUUAGGAGGAACACCAGUGGCGAAGGCGAUUUGCUGGGCCAUUACUGACGCUCAUGCACGAAAGCGUGGGGAGCAAAUAGG
rnacentral:rRNA from 1 species